rnacentral:rRNA from 1 species
GGAUCAUUAAAGAGUUUAAUAAAACUCCUAAACCCCUGUGAACUUACUGGUGUUUGGCUCGCCAGAUAUAGUCUGGUCCGUAAGCAAAUCGACUGCCUGCCUGUGUAACAGGCAGGUAAGCUUUUGUCGCGGGGUCCCGGAUCAACCCGGGCUAGAUAGCCACUUAACUAUAUACUUUUUAUAAAAUCUGUGAACUUACUAGGUUGGAUUCUCGCCAGAGAUAGUCUGGUUUCUGCUUCGCGGAUCGCCUACCCGUGACACCUGUCACAGGCAGGUAUGCUUCUGCCGCGGGUCCGUAAGUAAAUCAUCUGUUUCGCAAGGGACGGCGAUUUACCUGUGGAAGAGGUCCGCUAACUAUAUUCUUAGUAUAGUUUGUUCACUAGAUCAAACAUUCUGAAUAAAAACUUAAACUAGUUAAAAACUUUCAACAACGGAUCUCUUGGUUCUGGCAUCGAUGAAGAACGCAGCGAAAUGCGAUAAGUAAUGUGAAUUGCAGAAUUCAGUGAAUCAUCGAAUCUUUGAACGCACAUUGCGCCCAUUAGUAUUCUAGUGGGCAUGCCUGUUCGAGCGUCAUUUCAACCCUUAAGCCCCUGUUGCUUAGCGUUGGGAGCCUACAGCCUGCUGUAGCUCCUUAAAGGUAGUGGCGGAGUCGGUUCACACUCUAGACGUAGUAAAAUCUUUAUCUCGCCUAUGGAUGAGCCGGCGCCUUGCCAUAAAACCCCUAAUCUUUCACAAGGUUGACCUCGGAUCAGGUAGGAAUACCCGCUGAACUUAAGCAUAUCAAUAAGCGGAGGAAAAGAAACCAACAGGGAUUGCCCUAGUAACGGCGAGUGAAGCGGCAACAGCUCAAAUUUGAAAUCUGGCCUUCGGGUCCGAGUUGUAAUUUGCAGAGGAUGCUUUGGGCGCGGUGCCUUCCGAGUUCCCUGGAACGGGACGCCUUAGAGGGUGAGAGCCCCGUACGGUUGGACACCAAGCCUCUGUAAAGCUCCUUCGACGAGUCGAGUAGUUUGGGAAUGCUGCUCUAAAUGGGAGGUAAAUUUCUUCUAAAGCUAAAUAUUGGCCAGAGACCGAUAGCGCACAAGUAGAGUGAUCGAAAGAUGAAAAGCACUUUGAAAAGAGGGUUAAAUAGCACGUGAAAUUGUUGAAAGGGAAGCGUUUGCGACCAGACCUUUUCCCAGCGGAUCAUCCGGUGUUCUCACCGGUGCACUUCGCUGGGUUGAGGCCAGCAUCGGUUUCCGCAGGGGGAUAAAAGCCUGGGGAACGUAGCUCCCUCGGGAGUGUUAUAGCCCCUCGCAUAAUACCCUUGCGGGGACCGAGGACCGCG